AAUGUUCUAUAGUGAUUAUUGAAGUAGAGGUGAUUAAUGUUGUAGGGUGAUUAAUGUUGUAGAGGGUGAUUAAUGUGGUAGAGAGUGAUUAAUGUUGUAGGGUGAUUAAUGUGGUAGACAGUGAUUAAUGUUGUAGGGUGAUUAAUGUGGUAGAGAGUGAUUACUGAAGUAGAGGUGAUUAAUGUGGUAGAGAGUGAUUAAUGUUGUAGAGUGAUUAAUGUUGUAGGGUGAUUAAUGUGGUAGAGAGUGAUUAAUGUUGUAGGGUGAUUAAUGUGGUAGAGAGUGAUUACUGAAGUAGAGGUGAUUAAUGUGGUAGAGAGUGAUUAAUGUGGUAGAGUGAUUAAUGUGGUAGAGAGUGAUUAAU